AAUACUUAGGAAUCUACCUAUUAAUGGGGGACAACAUUUCGAAAGGAAUGCUAAUACCGCAUACGUCCUACGGGAGAAAGCGGGGGAUCUUCGGACCUCGCGCCAUUAGAUGAGCCUAGGUCGGAUUAGCUAGUUGGUGAGGUAAUGGCUCACCAAGGCGACGAUCCGUAACUGGUCUGAGAGGAUGAUCAGUCACACUGGAACUGAGACACGGUCCAGACUCCUACGGGAGGCAGCAGUGGGGAAUAUUGGACAAUGGGCGAAAGCCUGAUCCAGCCAUGCCGCGUGUGUGAAGAAGGUCUUCGGAUUGUAAAGCACUUUAAGUUGGGAGGAAGGGUAGUAACCUAAUACGUUGCUACUUUGACGUUACCGACAGAAUAAGCACCGGCUAACUUCGUGCCAGCAGCCGCGGUAAUACGAAGGGUGCAAGCGUUAAUCGGAAUUACUGGGCGUAAAGCGCGCGUAGGUGGUUCAGCAAGUUGGAUGUGAAAGCCCUGGGCUCAACCUGGGAACUGCAUCCAAAACUACUGAGCUAGAGUACGGUAGAGGGUAGUGGAAUUUCCUGUGUAGCGGUGAAAUGCGUAGAUAUAGGAAGG
rnacentral:rRNA from 1 species